UUUUAUUCUUUUAAUCCUUGUUGAAAGAAUUCUAUCUCAAAAGUUGAGAAGAUUGAUGAAGAUUUGAUGUUUUCAUGCUUUCCACAGGCUUUCUUGAACAUGGAAUUCAGACAGGUCCUCUUCGACUUAGUUCUCGGAGAUGUGAUGUUGAGUAACAGGCUCAAGAAAACUGUGGAGAAACAUGGAAACAACCAUAUUAUUGAGCUCCAUGUCUAAAGGCGAAGAAGGUGAAGGAAAUUUUAUCAGAAUGAAGGGGAAGGUGGAAGUCAAUAAAUACAUACAAAACAGAGAGCUGGUGGAUCACGGGUAACAGAGGUGGUGAAGUCCUGAAGCUGGGCUAAAAGAAUGUUCAGAGAACAAAAUGGGGCCACUGUAUUCUAGGAUAUAGUUGUUUUGCCACAUGAGCGUGUAAGGAUCCUCAUAUUAUACAUUUAAGUCCCUUGAGGGAAAAUGAUCCUGAUUUUUCUUUAUUUGAAAUUUUGAGAUCUACCUAUGAAUCAUAGAUGACUUUGAGUUCUGCAACA